rnacentral:rRNA from 1 species
UAAAGAAAGCGUAAUAGCUCACUGGUCGAGUCGGCCUGCGCGGAAGAUGUAACGGGGCUAAACCAUGCACCGAAGCUGCGGCAGCGACACUGUGUGUUGUUGGGUAGGGGAGCGUUCUGUAAGCCUGUGAAGGUGGCCUGUGAGGGUUGCUGGAGGUAUCAGAAGUGCGAAUGCUGACAUAAGUAUCGAUAAAGCGGGUGAAAAGCCCGCUCGCCGGAAGACCAA